rnacentral:rRNA from 1 species
GACGAACGCUGGCGGCGUGCUUAACACAUGCAAGUCGAACGGAAAGGCCCUGCUUUUGUGGGGUGCUCGAGUGGCGAACGGGUGAGUAACACGUGAGUAACCUGCCCUUGACUUUGGGAUAACUUCAGGUAACUGGGGCUAAUACCGGAUAGGAGCUCCUGCUGCAUGGUGGGGGUUGGAAAGUUUCGGCGGUUGGGGAUGGACUCGCGGCUUAUCAGCUUGUUGGUGGGGUAGUGGCUUACCAAGGCUUUGACGGGUAGCCGGCCUGAGAGGGUGACCGGCCACAUGGGGACUGAGAUACGGCCCAGACUCCUACGGGAGGCAGCAGUGGGGAAUAUUGCACAAUGGGCGGAAGCCUGAUGCAGCAACGCCGCGUGCGGGAUGACGGCCUUCGGGUUGUAAACCGCUUUCGCCUGUGACGAAGCGUGAGUGACGGUAAUGGGUAAAGAAGCACCGGCUAACUACGUG